rnacentral:lncRNA from 1 species
UUCUUUGGUUCGAUAACACUUAUACCCUUGCCGGAGACGAACCUGCAACACGGAGGAGCUCGACUGCAAGUCCGAAGAUUUUAUCCGAGAACCGAAGUCGCCGGAGACAUUUGAACUUCCCGACGGGAAUCAUCUCACCCGUUUCAAAAGUAACGCCGCCCGGGUCACGUGGAAACUCAUUGGAGCCGACGGAGAUCAUGACGGGGACUGGUUCGGCAUCGUUAAUCGCUCUUGUUCGUUCUCUUGGAUUUUCUCCAUCUUUACUCGUGCGACAUUACAAGAAAUCGCAUCGCAACCAAUGUGAGUAUACAUGACCCAUUUUCCAUUUUAACACUUUUGGGUGCAAUAUGUAUUUUAUAUCAAUCACAUUAUUCACUUCAAACAGCUUUAUGCACACUCUAUCCAAAUUGCACGUGAUACAUUUGGUUCAUGUUAUACAUGUUAUGCUAUUGUAAACUCUCAUGAUUAUGUAUUCAUUAACUUUGCAAGCCUCCCCUAACAAUGGUAGCGCUAUAGGUUGAGAAACGCCCCUCCCGUUAUUCUCACGGGUAUUGUUAGGUUAAUCUAUAUUAAAACCUCCCGUUAUACUUUUGGGAUUGGCACUUUAAUUGCGUUAAACUUUGGUUUGGACACAUAGAGUAACAUCAUUUCGAGUAUAUACUGUUAAUGUGUAAUCAUGUUAUUCACGUUGGAUAUGACCAACUUCAAACUUUUUAUUAUACUAUGUAUCAAACUUGUAUACUCGCCAACAUACCUUGUUGAUUUUAUUUUAGUACAUAUUGCAGAUUGAUUUGUUCAAGAUUCAAGAAACAAGCUAGGAUGGCUUUAGAUACCCAUUUUAGCAAUUGACCAUGUUUGAAUUUAUGUUUACUAUUUGAGACAUUGUAUUACUUUCUUAGUUUUAAUAAAACGAAUUAAUUCAUAUUGUCACCUUUAGUGU